rnacentral:pre_miRNA from 1 species
AAAAAAACAAACCCUAUAUUUAUGUGUCAACGUUUAACCGUCUGUCUUAUAUGAAUUUUUUUAUAAUUAGUAUUUUUAUUGUUGUUAGAUGAUAAAAUAUGAUUAAUACUUUAUGCGUGAUUUGUUUUUUUAACUUUUUAUAUUUUUUUAAAUAAGACGGACAGUCAAACGUCUGACUCGG